GACGAACGCUGGCGGCGCGCUUAACACAUGCAAGUCGAGCGAUAACCAUGGCUUCGGCCAUGGGGAGAGCGGCGAACGGGUGAGUAACACGUGAGCGAUCUGCCCUUGACACUGGGAUAGCCCGGGGAAACCCGGAUUAAUACCGGAUAGCCUCUCGGGUCUACGGGCUCGUGAGAAAAGAUGGCUUCGGCUUUCGGUCGAGGAGGAGCUUGCGGCGGAUUAGCUUGUUGGUGAGGUAACGGCUCACCAAGGCGACGAUCCGUAGCUGGUCUGAGAGGACGAUCAGCCACACUGGGACUGAGACACGGCCCAGACUCCUACGGGAGGCAGCAGUGGGGAAUCUUGCGCAAUGGGCGAAAGCCUGACGCAGCGACGCCGCGUGAGGGAAGAAGGCCUUCGGGUUGUAACCUCUUUCAGGAGGGACGGAGCUACUCGGGUUAAUAGCCCAGAGGGUGACGGUACCUCCAGAAGAAGCCCCGGCUAACUACGUGCCAGCCGCCGCAGUAAUAC
rnacentral:rRNA from 1 species